GCAAAGCUGGCCCUGCUUCUCUGGUGGUGUAGUGGUGUGGCUGAUUCUCCUUUGAUGCUCUCGUGGUCGUGACUCCGGAUCUAGAAGCUUCUUUUGCCGUCAUACGAUUGUUGAAGACUCAGUGGUUAGGCUUAAGGUGGCUGGCUCACAGAAACAUGUCCGAUUUCGUGGAGGGCGGCGGAAUUCUAGGAUUGGAUCGGUGGGUUUUCACCUUUGUUGAGGCGAUUAGCGGAAGAUUGCUCAGAUCUGUCAUGGCUGA
rnacentral:lncRNA from 1 species